GACGAACGCUGGCGGCGUGCCUAACACAUGCAAGUCGAACGAUGAAACCGGAACUUUCUCCGGGGGAUUAGUGGCGAACGCGUGAGUAUCACGUGAGUAACCUGCCCUGGUCUCUCGGGUAAGCGUUGGAAACGACGUCUAAUACCGGAUAGGAUCUUGGAUACCAUGAUCUGGGGUGGAAAGUUUUUUCGGUCUGGGCUGGAAUAGCGGCCUACCAGCUUGUUUGUGAGGUAAUGGCUCACCCAGGCGUCGACGGGUAGCCGGCCUGAACGGGUGACCGGCCACACUGGGGCUGAGACACGGAGGAGACACCGGCGAGUGGCAGCAGUGGGGAGUAUGGCUGAAUGGGCGAAAGCCUGAUGCAGCAGCGGCGCGUGCGGGAGGACGGCCUUCGGGUUGUAAACCGCUAUUAGUAGGGAAGAAGGGCUUCGGCUUGACGGUACCUGCAGAAAAAGGACCGGCUAACUACGUG
rnacentral:rRNA from 1 species